CCUACGGGAGGCAGCAGUAGGGAAUAUUGCUCAAUGGGGGAAACCCUGAAGCAGCAACGCCGCGUGAAGGAUGAAGGUUUUCGGAUUGUAAACUCCUUUUGUUAGAGAAGAUAAUGACGGUAUCUAACGAAUAAGCACCGGCUAACUCCGUGCCAGCAGCCGCGGUAAUACGGAGGGUGCAAGCGUUACUCGGAAUCACUGGGCGUAACGAGCGCGUAGGGGGGAUAGCAAGUCAGAUGUGAAAUCCUAUGGCUUAACCAUAGAACUGCAUUUGAAACUGUUAUUCUAGAGUAUGGGAGAGGUAGGUAGAAUUCUUGGUGUAGGGGUAAAAUCCGUAGAGAUCAAGAGGAAUACUCAUUGCGAAGGCGACCUGCUAGAACAUAACUGACGCUGAUGCGCGAAAGCGUGGGGAGCAAACAGGAUUAGAUACCCUAGUAGUC
rnacentral:rRNA from 1 species